rnacentral:rRNA from 1 species
AGUGAACGCUGGCGGUAGGCCUAACACAUGCAAGUCGAACGGCAGCACAGUAAGAGCUUGCUCUUACGGGUGGCGAGUGGCGGACGGGUGAGGAAUACAUCGGAAUCUACUUUUUCGUGGGGGAUAACGUAGGGAAACUUACGCUAAUACCGCAUACGACCUACGGGUGAAAGCAGGGGAUCUUCGGACCUUGCGCGAUUGAAUGAGCCGAUGUCGGAUUAGCUAGUUGGCGGGGUAAAGGCCCACCAAGGCGACGAUCCGUAGCUGGUCUGAGAGGAUGAUCAGCCAAAACUGAACUGGGAAAAGGUCCCGAACCCCACGGGAGGCAGCAGUGGGGAAUAUUGGACAAUGGGCGCAAGCCUUAUCCAGCCAUACCGCGUGGGUUAAGAAGGGCUUCGGGUUGUAAAGCCCUUUUGUUGGGAAAGAAAAGCAGCAGGUUAAUACCCCGCUGUUCUGACGGUACCCAAAGAAUAAGCACCGGCUAACUUCGUG